CAGCUUUCCCUGUUCCACUUCAGGGGAAAUAUAUCCAUCUCACAGGAGAUAAAAUAAGUACAAUUUAAUUUUUUAAACAACUGAAACAAUAAAUCCUAAUUUCUAACUGUAAAUAGCCAAAAUGCAAACAUUCACUGUUGACUGCUUGGUUUAAAAACCAACCUGCAACAGAAAAUAUACUCCAAGAUUCACAGGGUGAAACUGGUUUGUUGUAACCAGUUGUCUAGAUUUUAGAAAAAAUAUUGCAAAGAUCCUAAUGUACAAGUCUGAUCACAAACUCUUCUAAAUAAAGCAAGUACCUUCAUGUCCUGCCUGAAGAAGAAUGAGCGAAAAGCUGACAACCCAGUUUGAUAAUCUUUUUCAGAGAAUUAGACACAAUUAGGCUUAUUACCUCAGUGAACAUAAACAAUUGAGCAGAAAAAACUAGGGGGUUUUUUUGUAUUGAAAAUUUAUGUUCUCUCUAUUUCUUCCUUGAAAUUUCCUGCUGUUUAUUGCAGUAUUAAACUCCACCCUUGGUUCAACAAGUUCCUUCUUGAAUUCUACCCUUCAGUUUUUAAAACUUACUCUCUGUGGAAAUAUAAUUUACAGUAGGAUUUUAAUUCUCAGGAGUGGAGGUUGGUUUCGACUACAAUUUAGCCACUUUCCCAGACAAAAUUUAAUCCAUCCAUUUUUCUUUAAUGAUUUUUAAAUAAAAGUGGAAAAAUGUAGAAUUAUUAGUGGAAAACAGUAUCCAAAUGGAAGAUGAGAAGACUCAAAAAUGAAUCAGAGUUAAGGUAUCCAUGUACAUAAAUCCAUAUUUUUGUUUUGUUUUGUUUUUUUCUUUCCAGCUGAUGAUAUGGGCUUAGGAAAGACUUUAACAAUGAUUGCCCUCAUCCUGGCCCAAAAGUGCACAGAAAAAGAAAAAGAGAAGAAAUUAGACCUUUGGAUGUCCAAACAAGGUUCUAUUGAUACCUGUUCACACGGUACCUUAAUUGUCUGUCCUGCAUCUUUGAUUCAUCACUGGAAAAAGGAAGUGGAAAAAUACGUAAAACA